rnacentral:lncRNA from 10 species
UUUUAAUGAUUAGCAUUCUAACUGGCGUGAGAUGGUAUUUCAUUGUGGUUUUGAUUUGCAUUUCUCUAAUGACCAGUGAUGAUGAGUUUUUUUUCAUAUAUUUGUUGGCCGCAUAAAUGUCUUCUUUUGAGAAGUGUCUGUUCGUAUCCUUCACCCACUUUUUGAUGGGGUUGUGUUUUUCUUGUAAAUUUAUUUAAGUCCCUUGUAGAUUCUGGAUAUUUUCCCUUUGUCAGAUGGAUAGAUUGCAAAAAUUUUCUCCCGUUCUGUAGGUUGCCCGAUCACUCUGAUGAUAGUUUCUUUUGCUGUGUAGAAGCUCUUUAGUUUAAUCAGGUUCCAUUUGUCAGUUUUGGCUUUUGUUGCAAUUGCUUUUGGUGUUUUAGUCUUAAAUUCUUUGCCCAUGCCUAUGUCCUGAAUGGUAUUGCCUAGAUAUUCUUCUAGGGUUUUUUUUUUGGCUUUAGGUCUUGCAGUUAAGUCUUUAAUCUAUCUUGAGUUAAUUUUUGUAUAAGAUAUAAGAAAGGGGUCCAGUUUCAGUUUUCUGCAUAUGGCUAGCCAGUUUUCCCAACACUAUUUAUUAAAUAGGGAAUCUUUUCCCCAUUGCUUGUUUUUGUCAGGUUUAUCAAAGAUCAGAUGGUUGUAAAUGUGUGGUGUUAUUUCUGAGGCCUCUGUUUUGUUCCAUUGGUCUAUAUGUCUGUUUUUGUUCAGUACCAUGCUGUUUUGUUUACUAUAGCCUUGUAGUAUAGUUUGAAGUCAGGUAGUGUGAUGCCUCCAGCUUUGUUCUUUUUGCUUAGGAUUGUCUUGGCAAUACAGGUUCUUUUUUGGUUCCAUAUGAAAUUUAAAGUAGUUUUUUCUAAUUCUGUGAAGAAAGACAAUGGUAGCUUGAUGGAAAUAGCAUUGAAUCUAUAAAUUACUCUCAGCAAUAUGGCCAUUUUCAGGAUAUUGAUUCUUCCUAUCUAUGAGCAUGGAAUGUUUUUCCAUUUGUUUGUGUCCUCUCUGGUAUCCUUGAGCAGUGGUUUGUAGUUCUCAUUGAAGUAGUCCUUCACAUCCCUUGUAAGUUGUAUUCCUAGGUAUUUUAUUCUCUUUGCAGCAAUUGUGAAUGGGAGUUCACUCAUGAUUUGGUUCUCUGUUUGUCCUAUAUACAUAUGUUGGUAUAUAGGAAUGCUUUUAUUUUAAAGAUGGAAGAUGAUGUCUCUCUAUGUAACUCAGGCAGGUCUCAAACUCCUGGGCUCAAAUGAUCCUCCUACCUUAACCUCCUGAGUAGCUGAGACUUUAGUCACACACCACCAUGCCUGACCAGGAAUUGUUUUUCAACUUCAUAGUGGUAAACAAAACAUAUGUGUUUUCAGUUCUCAUGGAACAAGCAGCUUAGUAGGAGAAACAUAUGUUGAACUUGUAAGCAGAGAAGUAAAUCUAUAAUGACAAAUCAUAAUUUCUGAAGGGUAUUAAUUAGAUGUUUGAGUGAGGGGAAAUAUUGGAAGGUGCUCAUAAGUUUAUAAAUGUUCUAAAAUAUUUCAUGCUAAUCACAUUAAAAUUAUAUCAAAGUAUAUAAACAUAUCAUGGAAAACAUAAUCAGCACCAUGUACUCAACACCUAGGUUAAAAAAUAGCAUUAAAAAUUCUCUUUCCAGCUCACAUUCUGCU